GGGUAUGUAGCUCAAUGGUAGAGUGCAGGCUUAGCAUGCAGGUGGUCCUGGGUUCAAUCCCCAGUACCUCUG
rnacentral:tRNA from 1 species